CCCGUGACUUUAUGGUUGUGUGACCCCUGUUGUCGUUUAAUGUUUCAACCGUCUAGCCCCUGCUCCCCUAAUGAAAAGGGACAAGGGCAGGUGUGUCAGUCAGGGUCCUGUGGCAGGAAGACGUAGACCUGGAUGGAACUUGGAAGCGAAUUGGACAAAGGGAUGAUUUCAUAGAGGCAAGGGCAGGAAGGGGAACUACCAGGACUGCGGGGGCGACGGGGACUAGCUGCGGUGGGCAGUCUCCGCCACCACUUAGGCCUCUCGGGAGCUGGAGUCAUGAAGGAGGGACUCCCCGGGGUUGGGGGCUGAGGUCCUGGAGGGGUGCAGCCAUUACUGGUGCGUGGAGGGAUGGGUCUAGCUCUCCGUCUCCCGCCAGCGCCAGACCCAACUGGAACUCAGAGACCAACGGAGCCCAGGCAGAAAUAAUCUCCAAACAGCUUUUGUACCGUGGGGGAUAGGAUGAGGGAGCCAUGCAGGGAAGGAAAGAGGACGGGGCAAGGACAUCUAGACUGGAAGUAGGCACCCAGCAAAGAAUGAUCAUCAAAAGAGCAGAUUCUGGAGAGAUCCACGCAUACCCAGGACAUCCCCCAGGUGUCUGUCCACUGGCCGUGAUUGCUUUUGAGAUGCUGAUUCCAGUUCACUGGGAAGCAGUCCGAUGUCAAAGAGAGAACGUGAGCUUUGGAGUCCCACAGACCUGGUUUUGAAAGUGAACUCAGCCUCUUCUGUCUGUACAGCCCAGGGCACAACAUCAUUGUGACUCAGUGUUCUCAUCUUUAAAAUGGUC